CUCUCUCUCUCUCUCUCUCUCACUACAACCUCCGUUUACACGACAAAAGCAUAUAGUUACCCUUUUCUCGACUUUCCGGCGAUGCAAUGACACCGUCGUUUACUUCCGAAAACUCUAAAGUACCAGAUUUGUUCUACUUCGUGGAUGAGUUCAAGCUUAUCUUCAAGUUUCUCCUUAACAGUUAUGACGUUUUCCUAAACUUUAAUACCGAUUCUCCAUGUAUAGACCGGAACCGAACCGUGAAGUGAUUAUAUAUCCAUUACCAUAACCAAAACUCUGUGAAAGGAAUUAUUUGAUGAACGUUCACAAUGGAGUCUUCUUCAAGUAAAAACAUAUUUAUCUCACAAAAUAAGAAUUAAACGAAGUUGAUUAAGAAAAUCAAACAAAGUUAUAUCGGUCUUGUUUGUAAUCAAGUUCGUUUAGGGUGGUUAUAUAUGGACUUGUUCUCAAAGUGCACGAUUAUGGUUACGGACUUGUGAUUAUAAGUUCGUACUUGUGAACGAACUUUUCACAAUGUUGACCGGACUUAUUUUUCAGAAGUUAACAUAUCGUUUAAAGUUUGUUUUGAAGUAGGAAUGGUUAACUUAGGGUUGCUUUAUAAAUUGAUAUUAGAAACCUCGAGUGUUGUCAAACCCAGAACCAAACCAUAUACAUAUGGGUCGGUUGGGUUGUUAACGGGUAUUGUAGGAUGGGUUCAUAGGUUUCCAAUGAGCCGUGAAGUGAUUAUCCAUUACCAUAACCUUAACUCUACAAACUAUGGGUUCUACGUAUGGGUUUAAUGGUACGGGAUUUUGGUUAACUAUACUUUGUUUGUUUUCCGAAGACAAAUUAUGAAAUCUCUAAUCAAUGAAGAAUACACAUCAAAGGUUUCAAAUAAAAAUACCAGGGAUCUUACUUGGUUGUUGUCUUUACCCGUGUGGUCAGCAUUAUCUUAAAGAUCUCUGGAGAAGAAUGUCCUGAUCUUGCUCUCUCUCCACAACCCCUAAUUGAAGCCAUAAUUACUAUCCCAAACAAGUUUAAAAUAUCUUGCUCCAAGGUCGGCCUUGAAUCUGUGAAUAUGUUCCCUUUCAUAAGAGUUAGGAUGGGAAAUUAGGAUAAGAAACCCUACAAAUAAAAUGGAUCUGGAAAAUACAUUGUUAGUGGGUUGAAUGAUUUUUAAAAUACGGUUCAAGGAUGUAAUUAAAGAGGCUAUACUCUCCAAUUUCGGUCCCAAAGGGAAUUAAUUCCCAAUACUAUGUGUGAUGGACGUUGGACCUUUUUUUAGAAAAUAGUAAUGCAAAGAUACUAGUGAUAAGUGGGAUUCCUUAACAUCCUCCUGCCGAAAAGGAGACGCAACCUACACCUAAAAAGGGAAGAAAAAUGUGAAAGAGCCUGAUCACGUGAUGUUCAUCGUUGGCUGUGAUACAACGAAUAAAGACCCGAGAUGCAUAAUUAUACGAUACAGAAAAGUUACGGGAAAGGUUGGUAGUUGAAGGUUUUCUAUCACUAGAUUAGACUCCUUCAACUAUAUAAUGGUCCCAAGGUAUAACAAAGAGGAGCAUGAUUCCGGUGGUGAUACGCAGGAAGGACGUCAAGGAAUAGAGUGCUUACGCCACUUGAUAAAGAACAUGACACGAACGUUUUAAAAUUGUACUUUUGUUUGGGAUUUGCCUCUUUUUGUUGAAAUUAGUGAUAUUAUAAGUUA